UACGUAGGGUGCGAGCGUUAAUCGGAAUUACUGGGCGUAAAGCGUGCGCAGGCGGCGCGUUAAGACAGGUGUGAAAGCCCCGAGCUUAACUUGGGAAUUGCGCUUGUGACUGGCGUGCUGGAGUGUGGCAGAGGGAGGUGGAAUUCCACGUGUAGCAGUGAAAUGCGUAGAGAUGUGGAGGAACACCGAUGGCGAAGGCAACCUCCUGGGCCAGCACUGACGCUCAUGCACGAAAGCGUGGGGAGCAAACAGG
rnacentral:rRNA from 1 species